UUUCUAGCAAACAUAGCUACAACAUUCACGCUCUUUACACUGUUUUGGUGUAUAUUAGUCGCUGUGUUUUAAACACACUUCUGUUAAAUGUACUUGUUGGCCCAUUUAAUUAUAUAUUUACGUUGUUUAUUAGCUAACUGGUUUGCUAAGUUAGCUUAGAACUAGGCUAGUCGCUAAUGCUAGCUAGCUAUUAUCCCCGACCAUGAGUUCACUAAGCUACUCUCCUCCUGCUGAAGAAGAGGAGGUCUGCUGGACGGAGAAAGAGGCUCUUGUGAAAGAGGAGGAGGAAGAGAAAGAUGUUACAAUACAAAAACAAGUGGAGGGUGAAGCUGUUACCGUGAAAGAAGAGGAAGACGCGUUCAGAGUGAAAGAGGAGGAGGAUGUUACAGUAAAAGAAGAGGAGGAAGCUGUUUUUGGAGUGAAGGAGGAGGAGGAAGAAGAAGAGGAGGAAACUGGAUAUCUGGGCCCGGUUUCCCAAACGCAUCUUAAGGCGUCCAAUGGUUCUAACGGUGAACUUAGCAAUAAGAUGGUUUUGAGAAACCGUUCCCUGAUUAACACUAGAGAGAGGUGGGACCGUCGUGGAUCCUCUGGGGAGCCUCAACAACAUCAUGAUGCUGACAAGGCAGAGAAGAGUCUCUCCAGAUCAGAACUCCUCAAGAAACACCAGCAGAGACCCACAGGGAAGAGAACUCAGUGAUGCUCUGACUGUGGGAAGAGAUUCACCUCAUCAGGCAUUAAAAUUCAUCAGAGAACACACACAGGAGAGAAACCUUAUAGCUGUGAUCAAUGUGGGAAGAGUUUUGUUCAAUCUGGCAAUCUGACAUCACACCAGAGAACACAUACAGGAGAGAAACCGUAUAGCUGUGAUCAGUGUGAGAAGAGUUUUACUGAGUCUGGGGGUCUGACUAAACACCAGAGAACACACACAGGAGAGAAACCUUAUAGCUGUGAUCAAUGUGGGAAGAGUUUUAUUACAUCUAACAUUCUGACUCAACACAAGAUAACACACACAGGAGAGAAAUCUUAUAGCUGUGAUCAAUGUGGGAAGAGUUUUGGUCGAUCUGGAGAACUGACUGUGCACCAGAGAAUACACACAGGAGAGAAACCCUAUAGCUGUGAUCAAUGUGGAAAGAGUUUUGCUGCAUCAACCAAUCUGACUCUACACCAGAGAACACACACAGGAGAGAAAUCUUAUAGCUGUGGUCAAUGUGGGAAGAGUUUUGUUCAAUCUGGCCAUCUGACAUUACACCAGAGAACACACACAGGAGAUAAACCUUAUAGCUGUGAUCAAUGUGGAAAGAGUUUUGCUGCAUCUAGCACUCUGACACUACACCAGAGAACACACACAGGAGAGAAAUCUUAUAGCUGUGGUCAAUGUGGGAAGAGUUUUGUUCAAUCUGGCCAUCUGACAGUGCACCAGAGAACACACACAGGAGAGAAACCAUAUAGCUGUGAUCAGUGUGGGAAGAGUUUUACUGAGUCUGGGGGUCUGACUAAACACCAGAGAACACACACAGGAGAGAACCCUCAUAGCUGUGACCAGAGAUAAUCUGAUAAAAGAUCUCAGAUCAAAUAUCAGAAAAUACAUAUAUGAAGGAGUUGUUUCAUGAUAUCAAUGAAAUAAUGUCACAAUGUAGAAUGUUUUAACAUUGUAGUAGGAGUAUUUUAAUGAUGUCCCAAUGUAGAACCCUAAACGUUUGUCCCCUGUUCUAUUGAUUUCAGCAUGAUAUGGAUAUUAUCCUCAGGGGGAAAAUCCAGGCUCUGAAUUGAAAGAGUACUAUUUAUGUGAUUUAACAAAAAGUGACUAACAAAAAAGUUGUUACACUUACCACGUUGGUGACCCACUGGAAUCAAAAUGCACCACUUCAAAAUGUAUCUAGCUGUUUUCUACAAAUUGUCCUCUAACCAGUGAUGUACACAUUAUUCCCAGAUUCCAUGUGGUUUUUGAGCUGUUAGUUUUAACAGGACGUGCAACCUCAUCUCCCUUCUGUCACACAAAUGAUUUCAACAUGAUAUCGAUGAGUGAUGACAAAUAAGUGUUGUGUUCCUUUGUUUAGCGACCCCUAAAUUGAAAUGCAUCACUCCAAAAUGUAGCUGACUGUCUUCUGCAGGUUGUCCUCUAAUCAGUGAGGUAAAAUAUAUCUCCCAUUUCCAUGUGUUUUUUUAUUUGUGUUAGUUUCAACAGCACGUACAACCUGAUUUCCCCCCUAAUCGAUAUCAGUGAUUUAUUGCUACUUGUCAAAACAACAGCAUUUUUGGUGCUUGUGCAGUUUAUAAGGUGCUUGUUUAAAAAAUUACAAGUAAUAUGAUUAUUGUGGCAGAUGUUUGUGUACAUAGCACAUUUUAUGUUUAGGUUUUCAAUAUAUCACAAACUGUUUCUGCAUAUUGGUUAUUGAUUUAGACACGUUAAAACUGUGUUUUGACAUUGGGGCUAUCCCACCUAGCAAAAUGUCUUUGAAAAGCUGUUGAAAAUAAGACGAUGCAACCAAAUAUUUCAUAUUUACAUUUCAUGCAAAAUUUAGUAAUGAUAAUUAUUUAUUUAACCAACUGACAAUUUUUUUGUGCAAUUAUAUUGACAUUCUUGCCCUGCUUUUAGAAUAUCAGGGUUUAUUCUCACAUGGGUAGGCAGUCAAAAAGUGUUGUGUUUUGCGUUUAGCCAGUGCGUUGCCAUGGAUCACAAUUUAUUUUGACGGCACGCUUUUCUGUAUUGGAGAUGAGUUUUGUUUGGGCUCGUUCCAAGGAGACGAGAGUUCUAGAAGCUAGUGGGUUUUAGGAAGACGAGAGUUCUAGAAGCUAGUGGGUUUUAGGAAGACGAGAGUUCUAGAAGCUAGUGAGUUUUAGGAAGACGAGAGUUCUAGAAGCUAGUGGGGAAAAAUGUUUUUUUUCUUGUUUUUAAUUGUUGACAGCCAGUAGACACCAUGUUCAUAUUAGUGAAGGUGAAGCGUUGUAGUUGAUUAUAAUGUGAAAUGGAAGUUGUUUUCUGUUGAUGGUGAGCAAACUUCUAAAGUGUUAUUCUUUGGUUUUUCCUUUUUAUGUUUUGAGGUUGGACUUUAGCAUGUCUAGCUCGUUAGCACGUCUAGCUCGUUAGCACGUCUAGCUCGUUAGCACGUCUAGCUCGUUAGCACGUCUAGCUCGUUAGCACGUCUAGCUCGUUAGCACGUCUAGCUCGUUAGCACGUCUAGCUCGUUAGCACGUCUAGCUCGUUAGCACGUCUAGCUCGUUAGCACGUAGGACGCAUUGAUUGGUGUCACCUCAUUAGUCAGUAUGUGUUACACCUGUGCUGGCUUGUCCAUCUCGUUAGUGGGAAGGUGUUUCACCUGAGCUGGUCCAGGUUCUAUUUAAGAGUGUCUGGCCCGGUGCUCCAGUUGUCUUGAUACAUGUGGAGAGUCAACACCUUUAGUUGCUCCACCUUUUUGGUUUG
rnacentral:lncRNA from 1 species